ACUAAUUCGUGACAUAAAAUUCAUUCCAAAAAAUUGAUAUUUUCUUUGGGUGGUCGCCAACUUGACGUCAAGUUGGCGACCACCUUAAUAUUUGCUAUAACUUUUUACGUAAUGCAGCACAAAUUCUGAUUUCUACGGCACAAAUUAGCACAAAUUGAGCACUAAUUCGUGACAUAAAAUUCAUUCCAAAAAAUUGAUAUUUUCUUUGGGUGGUCGCCAACUUGACGUCAAGUUGGCGACCACCUUAAUAUUUGCUAUAACUUUUUACGUAAUGCAGCACAAAUUCUGAUUUCUACGGCACAAAUUAGCACAAAUUGAGCACUAAUUCGUGUCAAAUUUUGACCUUGAAAUUCCAAUGUGUGGUCGCCAACUUGACACACGUAGAGGGCGUGCACUGCGCCUGAGGCGCUGAGUCCGCCUGAAGGCCUGGUGCAGCGCCUCAGAGAGCAAGGAGACCGCGUGCACAAGCUCAUUGUUGACGCGUUUGCAAUUGUUGCGUGCUUGGCGAGUGAAGACGUAUCGGAAUGGGUCAGGUGUGCGGUAACGACGAUUAGAGGCAUCUCCAAUGUGCUCAGACUGUUGGCUCGGCCAGACAACACCGCAACACAGUGUAUUGUCACCUCAGCCACUGCAGGCCUCGUGGUCCGUGUGCCAGAUCCGAGCAUCGAACCAAGGCCCUAUGAGGAGUCCCGCUGCCUCUUGUUGUAAGAUAGAGGUUAUGUGUGGAUGUCUAUGGAAAACACGACACUGUAUUACUUCUAAAGUGUUGUUAAGUUGGUAGGUAUGUUUGGCGGUGGCGCGGUACUUGCACCAAUGAGGGAGCCUGAAGCGAGGUUCCUGCAGGCGAGGCAUUCAAGUAUCGCGCUGUGAGCUGUCGUGGACAACUUGGUAGACACCUCAGCAGUACUUCCAGCGCAGCACCAAGCUGAGUGACGUG